UUUUUUCAGUGCCAUUAAGAUUUUCCAUAAUUCCUUACGUUUAGCUCCUACAGCACGCCAUAUCAUUUGGGGUUGCGGUACCACUAUACCAUAUGCCCAAAUAAUAGGAACCCUUGCUGUACUUAGUGUCCACCAUCAGAUUAUUUUUUGUUUAGAUGCAGAGUGACCACUACCUGCAGAUUGAGAGGUGGGGCCUCAUAGAUGCCCCUUUAGGGGACCAAUCAAUAACUCCAUAUGAAUCAUUAUGCAACACCUCUGCCUGCGUUAUGAUAUGAUCGUCUGAAAUGCCUUCAUUUUUUCUGACCAUGUCCAAUCCACUUUACAGAUAGGUUUUUGAGGGUGGUAAACCUUGGCUACAGGAGCAUAAUCAUUGUAAUAAAUACUAAGAUUGGAAAGCAUAUGUAAGUGCCGCAGAGAUAUGUUCAGGCACUAUCCCCAGCCAAGAUUGGGAGGUAAACGCCCAUUGGCUUUCCCUAAGCAAAUAGGUAAAUGCUCAAAUCCCAACAAGAUAUUUAUAAUUGUUCCCUCCUCUUGGGGGUGAGACACGCCUCUAUCUGUAGAAAAAGGCAUCCAAAAGCUAUCAUUAGUGUAUACCUCCACUAGGGGCUCUAAGCAUAUUACUGGCCGUAGAAGUGGUAGAAAAGGAAUAUAUGCCCAAUAUAAUUGUUUCAGCAGUUACUGGGGGGGGGGGGGGUGGGGGGAGUACUCAUAGCAAUGGUGAGCACAGCCGUCAUAGCUAUUAUUAGAUUAUUCAUCAUAGCUGGUCAUUCCGCCACCUUCAGAUUUUCUUCUCCCAUCUUUGUCAACUUCUUGAUGUGGCCCCAGACUAUUGAGACAAGCUGUGGAAGGGCCAAUGAGUUUUGCCACCCAUCCCCUACCUCUAAAAUGGGCAAAUCAGUGUCUUCAUGAAGGAAGGAAGCUUAAAGCACUUAAUGAUAAUUCCACAGCCUCAAGCCAGGAAACUCCUCAGCAGCCCAGUUCCAGUGACUGAGUCCACUUUGAAGACACCUUGUUGUGGGCUGCCCAUACUGUGAGGCCUGUACCCAACCAGCCCACUGGCCUUCAGUUCCAUCAGGACUGGAAGCACCUGCACACAGAGCUGAAAAGCAAACCUUUUUUAUGACUGGACGUGAACAUGUGCCGUGAUAGCUAUGUGUUUCCAGGUAAAGUUAUGAGGACUUUUGUUAGUAAUAC
rnacentral:lncRNA from 1 species